CUAUUUUUUCAGACCGUUGGUUUAAAUUAUAUUAGUAAAUCAAUAUGGAUCGUUGGUUUAAAGUUUUAAUAGUGAAUCAGUAUGGAUCGCUGGUUUAAAGUUUUAAUAGUGAAUCAGUAUGGACCGUUGCUAUAAGUUUUAAUCUGGACCGUCCGUUUAAAAGUAAAUCAAUCUAGACCGUUCAGGAAUUAGUUACUAUUCAAUCCAUUCUCCUAUAAAUAGAAGCUCAUUCCUU
rnacentral:lncRNA from 1 species